rnacentral:rRNA from 1 species
UACGGAGGAUCCGAGCGUUAUCCGGAUUUAUUGGGUUUAAAGGGUGCGCAGGCGGCUUUUUAAGUUGCCGGUGAAAUGUCGGGGCUCAACUCCGUCACUGCCGGCGAUACUGGAAGGCUUGAGAAUGGAGGAGGAUUCCGGAAUGUGUGGUGUAGCGGUGAAAUGCAUAGAUAUCACACAGAACACCGAUUGCGAAGGCAGGAGUCCACACCAUAUCUGACGCUGAGGCACGAAAGCGUGGGGAUCGAACAGGAUUAGAUACCCUGGUAGUCCACGCAGUAAACGAUGAGUGCUCGCGGUGCGCGAUAAACGGUGCGCCGCCAAGCGAAAGCGAUAAGCACUCCACCUGGGGAGUACGCCGGCAACGGUGAA